rnacentral:rRNA from 1 species
AUGGACACGGAAGGGCACUCGCUGCCGUCGGCGUCGUGCGGUGACGGCCGGAAGAGGAGAGUCUGUUACUACUACGACCCGGGCAUCGCCAACGUCGACUACGGUGCCGACCACAACAUGGUGCCCCGCCGCGUCGCCAUGGCGCACGCCCUCGUCGAAAAAUACGGCCUGCUCGCCGACAUGGAGCGCCUCCGCGUCAGGCCCGCCACCGAGGCCGAACUGCGCGCCUUCCACGACGACGCCUACGUCCGCCUCCUCCGCGACAUCACCCCGGACGCCUACCACGACGGCGACCUCCGGGAUAGGGCCAGGGCGUGCCGCGUUGGUGUGCCGGACCCCAACGAGCCCGAGGCCGGUGGCGCCGGCGCAUAUAUAUACGACAACCCCGUCAUCGACGGCCUCUGGGAUUACUGCCUCCGCUACGCCGGCGGGUCGCUCGCGGCCGCGCGUGCGCUCGUCGACGGCUCCUCCGACAUUGCUAUCAACUGGUCCGGCGGGAUGCACCACGCGUGCCGGGGCAAGGCCAGCGGCUUCUGCUACGUCAACGACAUCGUGCUAGCCAUCCAGGAGCUCCUGAAGCACUUCGAGCGCGUGCUCUACGUGGACAUCGACGUGCACCACGGCGACGGCGUGGAGGCGCACUUCAAGAGGGAGAGCCGCGUGAUGACGGUUUCGUUCCACCUUUACGACAUCGACCGCAGGGGCGAUAAAUUCUUCCCGGGCACCGGCAAGGCCGAGGACGUCGGCGAGGGCGACGGCAAGUACUACACCCUGAACGUGCCCAUGAAGGCGGGCAUGGACGACGAGAGGUACCAGCAGCUGUUCAGGCCGAUCAUGGACGAGGUCAUGGAGAAGUUCGCCCCGGACGCCGUGGUGCUGCAGUGCGGCGCCGACUCGCUCUACGGCGACAGGCUGGGCGAGUUCAGACUGUCCGUGAAAGGCCACGCCGGCUGCGUCAGCUACCUCCGUAGCUUCAACGUGCCGCUGCUCCUCCUCGGCGGGGGCGGGUACACCGUCAACCAUGUCGCCUCCUGCUGGUGCUACGAGACGGCGGUCGCCGUGGGCAAGGAGAAGGAGAUCUCCGACGAGAUACCCUUCCAUGGCUACGAGCACUACUACAAGGACCAGGGCUACAAGCUACAUUUCACGGUGCCGAAGAAGAACGGCAACAAGAAGGAUGACUUAAUCGAUAAGAUAAAGCAGGAUGCCCUCAUGAACCUGGCCAUGCUCAAGCCACCGCCGACGACCGUAGGGGAGCACCGGCCAAGCAAAAGACAUGCCAUCAACGUCAAGGCCCACUAUGACCAGAACCAGGACAAGAACCAGGACAAGAAGGCAAAGAAGUACCGGUACCACAGGGAAGACGACGACCCCAUGGAGAGGCUGCACCGGCUCUGCGGCGAGGCGGACCGCUACAAUUUCUUCACUGAGCUGGGGAAGAGAAAGAUGUCUGGGCUAGUAAAUACUACUCCCUCCGAUUCAAAAUAA